GUUCAUAACCAACAGGAUGAAUGUAGGAACCUAAUUAAGACAGACUGACUCACCCUCUGGGAAGCUUCAGAAGCACUGCUCUUUCCUGAGAGAGUGGAGGAGGAAGAGUGUAAGAGAAUUAGAUGAGUAAGCAGUAGGUACUUCAGGAUAGCUGGUUUGCCUCCCAGCACUGAACACUUGAACUGUAGAUGCACCCUCAGCUAAGUCAGGAGCCCAGCACAGUCUGAACCUGGCAAAGAGCCUUCAGAAAGCAUCCCUGAGUUUGCUCCUGAAGAGGAGGAAUAGCAGUGAUCAACUGUUUAUGGGCCACAUCCAAGUAAAUCUCUAUGGGCUGAGGUGAGGACAGACUUGCCUGCAGAAAUCAAGACUCCAGUGCAAACCUUGCUGACUAUGCUGACAGAUUCUUUAAAAUUGGAUUGAAGCCAGACUUCAAAGAAGAAAUUGCUCCUUCUGAAGAGAGAGCCUCAGUGCCCUGUAUGGUUACCCUUUGAUGCCUGGAAUACUGUGAUGAGAUACUCCUUGAGCCUUCUCUUCUCCAGGGAGAAAAGAACUGACUCCCUCAGCCUUUCCUAGUGGCCCUUCAUUGGACUAUUUCCAGUCUAUCCAGAUUCUUCUUGAAUAGUGGCAACUAGAACUGGACAAAGUAUUCCAGGUACAUCCUGACAAGCAUGGAGCAGAGCCAUUAUAAGGCAAUAAAAAUAAAUUCUGUAAAUGAUAAUUCAGCAUUUAUCAGGG